AUGUCUACAUCAGAGGGUUCGGAGAGUGCUGAUUCCAUGGAUGAGGAUACGAGUCAAGUACCACAUGCUAGAAGGUCCAAGGCAUGGGAGCAUUAUGAAGCAGAUCUGGUUCUCGUAGAGGGUGAUCUCAAGGCUGUGUGCAAAUACUGUGGAGUGCAACUUCACACCAAGUUUGGGACAAGAAGUUUGAGGACCCAUAUUGCAGAGGCUUGCCGAUCAAUUCCGGAUGCUUGCAGGAAGAGGUUUUUGUUGACCAUGAAAAAAAACAUUCGAAGGUCUGUUUGUGUUUGA
rnacentral:rRNA from 1 species